rnacentral:tRNA from 1 species
GGACUCUUAGCUCAGCUGGAUAGAGCGCUGGCCUCCGGAGCCAGAGGUCACAGGUUCGAAUCCUGUAGGGUCCG